ACUCUCUCCUUCCAAUUUUGUCAGGAUUUGGUAAAGUUCCCAAAGUAUUAUCUUCUCAAGGGAAUAUUAAAAGUUCCCGUUUGUACGUUCUCUACUUUCUCAAUCUUACCAUGAACCAAACAUGAAUUUUGAAAUUGUUGCCAUCUUCUUUCCAUCCAGUCCUUGCCAACUCACAGAUUCUCAAACUCGAGAUUAUAAUUAAAAGGUAUUGUAUGCAAAGUGCAUAAGCAUAACACAAUGUCUACAGUUUACUUCAACUUUCAAUUGCAGGUAUCGAAAAUAGUCCAAUCACACCCUGAACUCAAACCCAAGUCAGGUAUUGAACAGAAUAAAACACGUAUACGUACCUGUUCUCUUCAGAAUAGGGAUGAAUCGAAAGAAACGUGCCCGGGACAGUAAGUGCCGCCCACAUACAG
rnacentral:lncRNA from 1 species